UGGGAUUCAAGAGGGGAAGGAUGCGAUUGUGGAAGAGGGUGGAAUUGCUGCACUCGUGGAAGCAAUUGAAGAUGGGUCGGUGAAAGGGAAAGAGUUUGCAGUAUUGACACUCUUGCAAUUGUGUGUUGAGAGUGUGAGAAAUAGAGGGUUGCUCGUAAGGGAAGGUGGAAUUCCACCUCUGGUUGCACUUUCUCAGACUGGAAGCGUUCGAGCAAAGCAUAAGGCAG
rnacentral:misc_RNA from 1 species